AGCGAGAUGGCUGAGAAAAGGUGAAGGAUUGUAGCUCUUUUUAGGUAAGUGGAAUUUAAUUGCUUGCUCUCGUUA
rnacentral:tRNA from 1 species